GUACUCAUUUCAGCAGCACAUAUACUAAAACUGGAAUGAUACAGAGAAAAUUAGCAUGGUCUCUGCACAAGAAUGACACACAAAUUCAUGAAGCAUUCCAUCUUUUU